rnacentral:lncRNA from 1 species
ACAAUGAAAUUAUAUAACAUUAGUGGAUAACUAUCUGCUACUAGCCCCAUUUUCCACCUUGCAAUCAACUUAGCCAUGCACCAUCCAUUCAUCUCGGCAAUCUAGAACAACAGCAAAAUGCUGACAUGAGUAAUAUAUCAUUAGAGAAAAAAAAAUGAAGUUAAUAGAGCAAUAUAAUCUAAAGAGAAGCAACAUACAAAGGUUGAAGCCCAUGAGAUAGCUAAUCCAACUGUAUGAUCAAUAAUUUUGACAUUUUUUAUUGCCGUAUCAACUAAACAUAUUUUUCCAAUGUGGAUCAUUACACAUUGCUGACAAUUCAUUUCCAAAGCUAACAACCUGAAUUUUAUAUGCUAGGUCGGUACUUACCUGUGUGGCAAUCAGAGUUCGUCUGGGCCAACAGGUACAUGGAUUUUGUUUAUACAUUUCCCAAAUUGCAAUGAUAAGCACAUCUCUGAAAAUCAAGAGUGCGGUGAGAAUACAAUCAAAUCAUGGUCAAUGGUUCCACCUUUAGUUAUUGAAGGCACACAAUUAGAAUAUAGAAUAUAAAAGAUCCCACUAAUAAAAAUAUACAAUAAAUAGGUUGUUUUGGCGCUAUUCUUGAAUUGCUGGUCAUGCAUGCCAAUAGAAUUAUCUAGCAACACGUGUACACUUCUUUUUACCAUUUAUUGUAUACACAUGUGCAGGGCAGAACAAAAUCUCACGAUAAUGUAAUAAAUACAGCAUGCUUGCAUAGAAAUUAUUUUGCUCCAUAGACCACUUCUAAAUUAUGCCCCAUAUUACUUAGUACAUCAGGAUGUUAUGUUUUAUACUGAAGCACAAAGAGAUAUCUAAAGAUAUACAUAGGUCAUAUCAUCGUUUGCACUGCUGGACAUCCAUACACAUAGUUUUAACAUUUUUUGUUAACUGAACAAAAAAGUCCAACAGUACUAACCCCUGCAAUACAUAUAUAGAUAGAGGGAGU